rnacentral:rRNA from 1 species
UACGAAGGGGGCUAGCGUUGUUCGGAUUUACUGGGCGUAAAGCGCACGUAGGCGGAUUGUUAAGUCAGGGGUGAAAUCCCGGAGCUCAACUCCGGAACUGCCUUUGAUACUGGCAAUCUAGAGUCCGGAAGAGGUGAGUGGAACUCCUAGUGUAGAGGUGGAAUUCGUAGAUAUUAGGAAGAACACCAGUGGCGAAGGCGGCUCACUGGUCCGGUACUGACGCUGAGGUGCGAAAGCCAGGGGAGCAAACGGG